rnacentral:rRNA from 1 species
UACGUAGGGUGCAAGCGUUAUUCGGAAUUACUGGGCGUAAAGCGUGCGCAGGCGGUUUUGCAAGACAGAUGUGAAAUCCCCGGGCUUAACCUGGGAACUGCGUUUCUAACUGGCAGGCUUGAGUGUGGCAGAGGGGGGUGGAAUUCCACGUGUAGCAGUGAAAUGCGUAGAGAUGUGGAGGAACACCGAUGGCGAAGGCAGCCCCCUGGGCUAACACUGACGCUCAUGCACGAAAGCGUGGGGAGCAAACAGG